UAAAAGAAAUAAAUAUUAAUUCAUUUUUGCUUGGGCACUACGAACACAUGUUUAAAACCCAAAGAACUUGGCGGUACUUUAACCCACUUAGGGGAACCUGUCCUUUAAUUCGAUAAUCCACGACAAUCUUAUUUAUUUUAGAACACUUCAGCUUGUAUACCGUCGUCAUAAGUUAACCUUAAAAAGAAAAAAAGUUAACAACAAAGAUAAAAUUUAAUAAUUUUCUCCUAGGUCAGAUCAAGGUGCAGCUAAUAAAUAAAGAGGAGAUGGGUUACAAUUGAUAAAUUUCAAAUGGAAUUUUUAAGGAAAAUAAAAACGAAAUAGGACUUAAAAGUAAUUUUAUGAUAACAAACAUUAAUGAAUAAGGAAAUAAAGUGUGC
rnacentral:rRNA from 1 species